rnacentral:rRNA from 1 species
UACGAAGGGGGCUAGCGUUGCUCGGAAUCACUGGGCGUAAAGCGCACGUAGGCGGAUCUUUAAGUCAGGGGUGAAAUCCUGGAGCUCAACUCCAGAACUGCCUUUGAUACUGGGGAUCUCGAGUCCGGAAGAGGUGAGUGGAACUCCGAGUGUAGAGGUGAAAUUCGUAGAUAUUCGGAAGAACACCGGUGGCGAAGGCGGCAUCCUGGACCGGUAUUGACGCUGAGGCGCGAAAGCCAGGGGAGCAAACGGG